UAUUGGUCAAUGGGCUAAGGCCUGAACCAGCCAAGUCGCGUGAGGGAAGACGGUCCUAUGGAUUGUAAACCUCUUUUGUCGGGGAGCAACGAGGCCACGUGUGGCCGAAGUGAGAGUACCUGAAGAAAAAGCAUCGGCUAACUCCGUGCCAGCAGCCGCGGUAAUACGGAGGAUGCGAGCGUUAUCCGGAUUUAUUGGGUUUAAAGGGUGGGCAGGCGGUCUGUUAAGUCAGCGGUCAAAGCCCGGGGCUCAACCCCGGCCCGCCGUUGAAACUGGCAGUCUCGAGUUGGAGAGAAGUAUGCGGAAUGCGCGGUGUAGCGGUGAAACGCAUAGAUAUCGCGCAGAACUCCGAUUGCGAAGGCAGCAUGCCGGCUCCACACUGACGCUGAGGCACGAAAGCGUGGGUAUCG
rnacentral:rRNA from 1 species